AGAGUUUGAUCAUGGCUCAGGAUGAACGCUAGCGGCAGGCUUAACACAUGCAAGUCGAGGGGCAGCGCGGAGGUAGCAAUACUUCUGGCGGCGACCGGCGGAAGGGUGCGUAACGCGUGAGCAACAUGCCCGUGGCAGGGGGAUAAGCGAUGGAAACGUCGUCUAAGACCCCGUAACAACAGGGUUCGCAUGGACUUUGUUUGAAAGCUUCGGCGGCCACGGAUUGGCUCGCGUCCCAUUAGGCAGUUGGCGGGGUAACGGCCCACCAAACCGACGAUGGGUAGGGGUUCUGAGAGGAAGGUCCCCCACAAUGGAACUGAGACACGGUCCAUACUCCUACGGGAGGCAGCAGUGAGGAAUAUUGGUCAAUGGGCGGAAGCCUGAACCAGCCAUGCCGCGUGCAGGAAUAAGGCCCUACGGGUCGUAAACUGCUUUUGUACGGGAGCAAUAAGGGCCACGUGUGGUCCGAUGAGAGUACCGUACGAAUAAGCAUCGGCUAACUCCGUGCCAGCAGCCGCGGUAAUACGGAGGAUGCGAGCGUUAUCUGGAUUCAUUGGGUUUAAAGGGUGCGUAGGCGGCGUGCUAAGUCAGGGGUGAAAGGUUCUGGCUCAACUGGGACAGUGCUUUUGAUACUGGUGUGCUGGAGUGCGCUUGCCGUGGGAGGAAUGAGUGGUGUAGCGGUGAAAUGCUUAGAUAUCACUCAGAACACCGAUUGCGAAGGCAUCUCACGAAAGGCGUAACUGACGCUGAGGCACGAAAGCGUGGGGAUCAAACAGGAUUAGAUACYCUGGUAGUYCACGCUCGUAAACGAUGAUGACUAACCGCCGGUCCGCUAGGGUCGGUGGCCAAGCGAAAGCGAUAAGUCAUCCACCUGGGGAGUACGACCGCAAGGUUGAAACUCAAAGGAAUUGACGGGGGCCCGCACAAGCGGAGGAACAUGUGGUUUAAUUCGAUGAUACGCGAGGAACCUUACCUGGGCUCGAACGGCAAGUGAAGAGAGACAGAGAUGUUGACGUCCUUCGGGACACUUGUCGAGGUGCUGCAUGGUUGUCGUCAGCUCGUGCCGUGAGGUGUCGGCUCAAGUGCCAUAACGAGCGCAACCCCUGCUUCCAGUUACCAGCACGUAAAGGUGGGGACUCUGGAGGGACUGCCACCGCAAGGUGAGAGGAAGGGGAGGAUGACGUCAAAUCAGCACGGCCCUUACGUCCGGGGCGACACACGUGUUACAAUGGCGGCCACAGAGGGAAGCUACCCUGCGAGGGGAUGCGGAUCUCGAAAAGCCGUCUCAGUUCGGAUCGGAGUCUGCAACUCGACUCCGUGAAACUGGAUUCGCUAGUAAUCGCGCAUCAGCCAUGGCGCGGUGAAUACGUUCCCGGGCCUUGUACACACCGCCCGUCAAGCCAUGGAAGCCGGGGGCGCCUGAAGUUCGUGACCGCGAGGAGCGACCUAGGGCGAACCUGGUAACUGGGGCUAAGUCGUAACAAGGUAGCCGUA
rnacentral:rRNA from 1 species